rnacentral:misc_RNA from 1 species
UUUUCAAACGUUAUUACUAAAAGAGGAAAUCGGAAGUAAACACGAGCACGAGCUUGGUGAUCGGGUAAACAGUAGCCGAGGUAUCAUCGUCAUAACUAAGGAUGGCUGAUGACAUAGAUGAUUUAUUAGAUGAAGUCGAAACUAAAUACUGUACACGAGGAAAUACUACAACGGGAUCCCACAAAAGGAUAACUGCCAAUAAACCCAGGAACAGAGCCAGAUUAGAUGAUGACAUUGAUGACAUUCUCAGAGAAGAUGAUGACAUGCCACAGCUGAAGCAACUUGAUAUAGGCAGUAAAACAUCAGUGGAUGGUAAAGACAACCAGAGGUCACAAUCAUCUCGAAAAUGCUUUCCUGUAUAUUUAGGUGGAAGCUCCUGUGUCCUGGGCUUAGCCUCAAGUGUAAAUAAACGGGCUUGUGACAGGCUGAGGUGUACAUCAUGUGACUUUCGAGUGUCACAGUUUGACAACUUUGAAUGGCAUACAAGUACAGACUAUUUGUUUCUGAGGAACAAUGUACCUGAUUUUGAAAAAUUAAAAUCUAAACUUAAAGCAAGAAAAGGUGUGAGAGCGUACUGCUGCCAGUGUUGCUGGAAGUCUGUACCGGAUCUGGUGGAGCUGAAAGACCCCAAGUUGAAGUGGGUGUGUGGCAAGCAUUGACGCUGAUCAGAGUCUAGAUCACAGAUUCCACAUUCAUCAUUCCGUCCCUUAAACCAGCAUGGAACAACAAUCGCAAACCAUUUGUUCAUGAAUGAUUUGACAGGCAUUGCUUUGAAGUUGACACAUAACAAAAUAGAUAUGUGGUUAACUACUUAAUUAUUACACUGUUAUAAUGAUGUUCCAUUAUAGAUUGGGCAGUGGGGUAGCCUAGUGGUUAAAGCGUUUGCUCCUCACGCUGAAGACCCGGGUUCGAUUCCCCACACGGGUACAAUGUGUGAAGCCCAUUUCUGGUGUCCCCCUCUGAUAUUGCUGGAAUAUUGUGAAAGCACCGUAAAACCCAACUUACUCACUCAAAUUACAGAUCAUUAUAAUGUUGUUCCUGCUCAGAAAUAAUUAAGUUAUUGUCCAUUAAGUGUGUCCACUGCUUUUUGUCACAGCUUUGGAAUCAGAUUUAGGCAGUUUGUUAUGAAUUGUAAAUAGUGUAUUGAAGAAGCUAAAAAUAUAUUCAUGAAAUAUUGGCUAUAUAUAGUUUGCUCAUGGAAAUACUCAUGAGUUAUUAACAAAGAUAAGACUAUUAUAUUUACUAUAUUAUUCUGUAUUACUUGCAUUUAACCAACCACAGAUUUGUUUAUAUAUAUAUAUAUAGAGGGAGAGAGUUAUUUCUGUUGUGACAUAGAUAUAUAUAGGUAAAGACUUUUAGAGAAACUGUAUUCAUUUGUAAUAGGAGUUUUGAUUUUCAAAGGCUCAUCCAUUUCAUGUUAUUGAUCCAUAAUUCUGGCAUGUGUCGCAGUGUCAGCAUGAUAUUCUAGUAUGUUGAAAGGUUCAAGACAUCAGUUCACAAAUUAUAACUCCUGCUAUGUGCUUAUCCAUGUCAUCAUUGCAAAAAUUGUUCUUGAGAUUAUCUUUCAUUUGUUGGCAUCGUAUGUGUGUGAUGAGUUCAGUUUGUGUGCUACUUUCUGAUGAGGUGUGUUUUAACUUAUAGUUGUUAAAUACCAAGACACUGUUUCUGUCAAACAGUAAGAGAUGAUAAAACAACAGUUUAAUCUCACUACUGCGACAGGAAGAAAUACAGAAAUACGACACUUUGUCCUAUCAAGUCUCAGUGGUGAAGGAUUUUGCACAUUAUGCCAAAAUGCUAAUUGCAAAACAUUAUUUCUGGAAAACUGCUAACAGCAGCAUUAAGUCAAACUCUCUCACAUAUUUGUUAUUGGUCAGACUGCUCUUGCUCUGUGUUGACAAGGAUAAAAGAAAGUGAGCAAUUUAAGGAACGAUAAAGUAGAUACUCAUUAUGAUGCAUAUUUAGUUAGUACUAAAAAGACCCAAUUCAUUUCAGGGACCACAAAAUCUUCGCAGCUCAAUUAAAUAUGAGUAUCUAUGAGAAGGUCCUGAUGAGGUGUACAUUUUGUGUAAAACAGCUAAAAUACACUAAACAUGUGGGUGGUCAAAUGUUUAUUGUAAAAGAUAAACUUAACAAAACAAAACUACUGGUGUAUAUUACUAUCGUUAUUGUGCUAAAAUGUACAAAUUAUAACUGACAAGAUCUAAUGACACAAAUCCAGUAAGAUAUUUGUAUUUGCACAACACAAAAUUGCGGUAGUGAAACAAAAGCAGAACCAGCUGUCCCAGUGUUUGCUGACAGACGAUUUGCAACUUUACAGCUUGUCUGCAGUAUGUUUACAAAACCUCCCGAAAAUAAUUCUGGUACUGAGUGAAGGGCAAAACUUUGAAUAUAACCCCCACUGCCAGUCAGGGCCUUUACUGAAGGGAAAUGAUUUGACGGACUUGAAAUAUACAAUACAUAUUGGUAGACCCUUACUAAAAUUUGAUUGACUUGUAGCCUCACCUCCUGUCAGGACCCUCACUAAAGGGCCAAAAUUUGACUACUUGUAACCCCCACCAUCUGUCAGGACCCUCGCUAAAGGGCCAAAAUUUGACUACUUGUAACCCCAUCAUCUGUCAGGACCCUCGCUAAAGGGCCAAAAUGUGACUGCUUGUAACCCCCACCAUCUGUCAGGACCCUCACUAAAGGGCCAAAAUGUGACUGCUUGUAACCCCCACCAUCUGUCAGGACUCUCACUAAAGGGCCAAAAUGUGAGUGACUGUAACCCCCACGAUCUGUCAGGACCCUCAGUAAAGGGCCAAAAUGUGACUGCAUGUAACCCCAACGAUCUGUCAGGACCCUCAGUAAAGGGCCAAAAUGUGACUGCAUGUAACCCCCACCAUCUGUCAGGACCCUCGCUAAAGGGCCAAAAUGUGACUGCUUGUAACCCCCACCAUCUGUCAGGACCCUCGCUAAAGGGCCAAAAUGUGACUGCUUGUAACCCCCACCAUCUGUCAGGACCCUCACUAAAGCAUCUGUCAAGGGCCAAAAUGUGACUGCUUGUAACCCCCACCAUCUGUCAGGACUCUUGCUAAAGGGCCAAAAUGUGACUGAUUUGUAACCCCACCUCAUGAUCCUCACUAAAGAUGCAAAUGUUUCCAGACCAACUUUUAUGAUCUGAAUAUAUGAAUGCCUCUCUUUUCAUAAACAGGAACCUCGGCCAAUCAUGUAACUGACUACAGUAUCUUGUUCAUUCCGUUGUUGUAUUCAAAUGGGUUGUCAAACCUGUACUGUUGUGUUCAAACAAUAAAACUUAAAACUUU